AUUUAUGAAUAUGAUGAUUAUUCUAACUUAAGGAACUGAUCGGUCUGUGGUCAAUUUUCUGCCAACCAAAUGGUCCACUGUUCCUUAUUUAGUGCACUACUAGAGACCCGGGACCAUUGGGAUGUGGUCAGGGGUGGUGUGCUCUGUAUGGAUGUGGUCAGGGGUAGUGUGCUCUGUAUGGAUGUGGUCAGGGGUAGUGUGAUCAGUAUGGAUGUGGUCAGCGGUGGUGUGCUCUGUAUGGAUGUGGUCAGGGGUAGUGUGCUCUGUAUGGAUGUGGUCAGGGGUGGUGUGCUCUGUAUGGAUGUGGUCAGCGGUGGUGUGCUCUGUAUGGAUGUGGUCAGCGGUGGUGUGCUCUGUAUGGAUGUGGUCAGGGGUGGUGUGCUCUGUAUGGAUGUGGUCAGGGGUGGUGUGAUCAGUAUGGAUGUGGUCAGGGGUAGUGUGCUCUGUAUGGAUGUGGUCAGCGGUGGUGUGCUCUGUAUGGAUGUGGUCAGGGGUGGUGUGCUCUGUAUGGAUGUGGUCAGCGGUGGUGUGCUCUGUAUGGAUGUGGUCAGCGGUGGUGUGCUCUGUAUGGAUGUGGUCAGCGGUGGUGUGCUCUGUAUGGAUGUGGUCAGGGGUAGUGUGCUCUGUAUGGAUGUGGUCAGGGGUAGUGUGCUCUGUAUGGAUGUGGUCAGGGGUAGUGUGCUCUGUAUGGAUGUGGUCAGGGGUAGUGUGCUCUGUAUGGAUGUGGUCAGGGGUGGUGUGCUCUGUAUGGAUGUGGUCAGCGGUGGUGUGCUCUGUAUGGAUGUGGUCAGCGGUGGUGUGCUCUGUAUGGAUGUGGUCAGGGGUGGUGUGCUCUGUAUGGAUGUGGUCAGGGGUGGUGUGCUCUGUAUGGAUGUGGUCAGCGGUGGUGUGCUCUGUAUGGAUGUGGUCAGGGGUAGUGUGCUCUGUAUGGAUGUGGUCAGGGGUAGUGUGAUCUGUAUGGAUGUGGUCAGGGGUAGUGUGAUCUGUAUGGAUGUGGUCAGGGGUAGUGUGCUCUGUAUGGAUGUGGUCAGGGGUAGUGUGAUCUGUAUGGAUGUGGUCAGGGGUAGUGUGAUCUGUAUGGAUGUGGUCAGGGGUAGUGUGCUCUGUAUGGAUGUGGUCAGGGGUAGUGUGAUCUGUAUGGAUGUGGUCAGGGGUAGUGUGCUCUGUAUGGAGUGGGAUGCCAUUUGGAAAUUAUUAAUUUGUUUCUACUUCCUGUCCCUCUACAUUUGGGUUUCUUUGGCGCUGCUCUUUUACAACUGUGCUUUUGGUUUAUCUAUUUCAUAAAUGACACCAGUGGAACAAAAUAAACUAUCAACCCUGAAAUUGUCUGUUUGUGUAACAUUAAUUCUGUGCUUAUAUUGGUCUUCAGUCAUUUUCAAGGUGGAUUAUACACUACAUUUUUAAGUCUGCUAAAUGGAAAUGUUUUUUGUAUAGCGUUACCGUCAGAGUGGGUUAACAGCCAAGACAUCUGCCAUUUUUGACAUUGACCCUGAGGCCAUUUCAUUUACUGGCUUACUCAAGGGCAGAUUGGCAGAUUUUCUCCUCAAGUUCAACUUCAGUUUUAUUUGUCAUUUGCAAUAACAAGUUAUGGGAAUUUAAUUCUUGGUUUUCCUACUCCCGACAGUGCAGUUAAAAUUUAAAAAGUGAGAGUAAUUAUAAUAUAUAAAUAAGAAAAUAACAUGAACUAACAAUAAUAACACUAUACAAAAACAUGUAUCAAUAAUAACUGAACAACCUUAGUGCAAUGUAGAAGUGACAGGUGUGUUUGAUAUAAAGUGACAGGUGUGUUUGAUAUAAAGUGACAGGUGUGUAUGAUAUAAAGUGACAGGUGUGCAUGAUAUAAAGUGACAGGUGUGCAUGAUAUAAAGUGACAGGUGUGCAUGAUAUAAAGUGACUGGUGUGAAUGAUAUAAAGUGACUGGUGUGCAUGAUAUAAAGUGACAGGUGUGUAUGAUAUAAAGUGACAGGUGUGCAUGAUAUAAAGUGACAGGUGUGUAUGAUAUAAAGUGACAGGUGUGCAUGAUAUAAAGUGACAGGUGUGCAUGAUAUAAAGUGACAGGUGUGCAUGGGACUAUAGAUGGAAGGGAAGAGGGGUUCCUGAGUUGAGCAGCCUUACAGCCUGUGGAAAGAAGCUGUCCCAUAGCCCGUUAGUUUUGGACUGAAUACUCCUGUACCUUCUGCCUGACGGCAGCUUGGUAAACAGUCCAUGUCAUGGGUGGCUGGGAUCUGUAAUGAUCCGUUUGCUCCUCCUCCUACACCUCUCUGUGUAGAGAUCCUGCAGGGAUGGCAGGUCAGACCUUGUGAAGCUCUCUGCUGUUUUAAUCACCCUUUGAAGUGCUUUACGGUCGAGGGCGGAGCAGCUGCCAUACACUUUGUUGUCUCUGGGCUCUGGCUAAACAUACCCUCUCCCUCUCUGUGUUCUGUAUCUUAGUGCAUUUGUGUGGGUGGACCCCCCCUGAGGAAGAGCAGCUCUGUUUUGUUGAUGUUGAGCUUGAAGAAAUGGGCCAACACCUAAGCAGAGGUGUCAGCCAGGCACACAGAAGUAAAGGAGAAUAGGAACACAGGAUAAAGCAUCAGCUUGGGAAGUGAACCGCUGACAAAAGCUGGCGGACUCAGUUGAGUUGUCAAUCUUGAAACCUCACUGGUUGAUUUCAGGGAGAAUCUAAAAGACAUUUGUUUUACAUUGUUUGGCCAAUACUGACCUGAAUUGUGCAUCAAGUGUUGUUUAACAAGUAACUCUACAUUAGCUUGAUCUUAGAUUUUUGUUGUUUCAGAUCUCUGAGUUUAAUGCAUUUAAAAUAGGUUAAUGGGUCAUUUUGCUUUCUCCCAGGGAGGCUCAGAUCAAUGGGCCUCAUUCACCAAAAUCUUCCUACGUUUCUAAUUAAAUGAAUUUCUUGAGAAAGGCUUUAAGAAAAGCUUUAUGACAUGUUCUUAAACCACAGAAUUGUUUCCUCCUUAUAAUGAUGAAUCCCAUUGUCUUUGUAAAUUGAUGGUCUUGGGAGGCAUACCCUUGGAGGGUCGCAGAGACCUCCAUGUGCUAGCCAGCGGUACCCUGACUGCUGUUAGGUACCGGGAUGAAAACCUCAGACCCAUCGUCAGACCUUAACCUGGUGCUGUGGGCCCUGGGUUCCUCCUGGUGCAGGACAAUGCCCGGCCUCAUGUGGCCAAAGUGUGUAUGCAGUUCCUGGAUGACGAAGGCAUUGAUGCCAUUGACUGGCCCUCAUUUUCCCCUGUCCUGAAAUCAAUUGAGACCCUCUGGGACGUUAUGUAUCAGUGCAUCCGACGCCGCCAAGAAAUGCCACAGACUGCCCAGGAGCUCACUGAUGCCCUGAUCCAGGUCUGGGAGGAGAUCCCCCAGGACACCAUCUGCCAUCUCAUCAGGAGCAUGCCCAGACGUUGUUGGGAGUGCAUACAGGCACAUGGAGGUCAUACACACUACUGAGUCACAUUGAGUCACUGUGAUGUAAUUCAUGCAAGUUGGAACAGCCUGUGAUUUCAGUUGUUUUCUUUGAUUUUCGGUGUGUUUGAAUCCAGCCCAGGUGGAUGGAGGUGGAUGAGGUGUGGUGGUGAUACAUCAAAAUCUUUGCUGUAUAUUGUGUAAUUCACUGAGAACAAAAUGAUGUAACAACGGUCAAUGGAAACCAAAAUCACCAACCGAUUGAGGGCUGGAUUCAAACUCACAACGAAAAUCAAAGUAAACAAUUGAAAUAACAGACUGUUUACUUUGAGACCCAAUGUAUGAUUUACAUGUUCCCUUAAUUUGUGGAGCAGUGAAAUUAGAUUUGGCUUUUAGAACAGGCCGAUCCGAAUGCUUUAUCAGGAGGGAUUUUGUAUUAUUAUUAAAGUGAUAAAUAGGGACACUGGUAUGGAUUUGUUCCCUCUAUUCACCUCUAUGACACACAGAAAAACACACGCAUGUAUUAACUGAGCUGCUAGCACAGUGCUACAGGAAGUGACCUGCCUUCCUUUCAGAGUGGAGGAUCCUGUCCUCUAUUGUCUGGUGGGUCGUUGUGGCGAUGGCCUGUAGGGGAGGGACUGCCGGACAUUUCCGUUAGCGAUGUGGAGCUGGCUACACCUACUGCCGUUUACCCAUCAGGCACCAGGUCUCAUGAUGUCUGUCUGUGUGUGUGUGUGUAUAAAUAUACAGCGUUGUUGUUUGAGGUCCUUACGGACCCUGACUGGGUAAUGACCUCAGGGGUAACUAUCUCAAGAUCAGUUGGAAAUCUGGAAACCUAAAGAAUGUUCUGUUUGAGUCAGACGCCAGUCUCCUCCACACCUCUCACCACCACACCUCCUCCCCCUCCACAGCUCCUCCACACCUCCCCCUCCAGACCUCCUCCACACCUCUCACCACCACACCUCCUCCCCCUUCACACCUCCUCCACACCUCUCACCACCACACCUCCUCCCCCUCCACACCUCCUCCACACCUCCCACUCCAGACCUCCUCCACACCUCUCACCACCACACCUCCUCCCCCUUCACACCUCCUCCACACCUCUCACCACCACACCUCCUCCCCCUCCACACCACCUCCACACCUCUCACCACCACACCUCCUCCCCCUCCAGACCUCCUCCACACCUCUCACCACCACACCUCCUCCCCCUCCACACCUCCUCCACACCUCCCCCUCCAGACCUCCUCCACACCUCUCACCACCACACUUCCUCUACCUCCAGACCUCCUUCCCCUCCACACCUCCCCCUCCAGACCUCCUCCACACCUCUCACCACCACACCUCCUCCCCCUCCACACCUCCCCCUCCAGACCUCCUCCACACCUCUCACCACCACACUUCCUCUACCUCCAGACCUCCUCCAAACUUAUCACCACCACACCUCCUCUACCUCCAGACCUCCUCCAAACUUAUCACCACCACACCUCCUCCCCCUCCAGACCUCCUCCACACCUCUCACUACCACACUUCCUCUACCUCCAGACCUCUUCCAAACUUAUCACCACCACACCUCCUCCACCUCCGGACCUCCUUCACACCUCUCACCACUACACCUCCUUUUCAGAUAUUAGGAAGUGAAUGACAGAGAACUUCUUGUUUUUAAACUCAAGAAAAACAGAAAUGCUCAUUUUAGGACCCAAAAAACAAAGAGCGUUGUUAGCAGAGCACACUGUGAACCUCGACGGCUGCAUGGUCGUAUCCCAAAAAACUGUAAAAAACCUUGGCGUUACCCUUGACCCUGACCUCUCCUUUGAAGAACAAAUAAAAUAUGUCUCAAGAGUUGCUUAUUUUCAUCUUCGAAACAUUGCAAAAAUCAGAAACUUUCUAUCAAAAACUGAUGCAGAAAAAGUAAUCCAUGCUUUCGUUACUUCUAGACUAGAUUACUUCAAUGCUCUUCUCUCUGGUUAUCCAGAAAAAUUUAUAAAUAAACUUCAAAAAACAUAAAAAUUUUAACACAUUACUCCUGUCCUAGCGUCCUUACACUGGCUGCCUGUUAGGGUUAGCGCUGAUUUUAAGGUUUUACUCCUAUAAAUCAAUACAUGGACUUGCUCCUACUUACCUUGCUGAAAUGAUCCAGCCAUACAUACCUACACGUGACCUACGAUCGCAAGAUGCAGGCCUUUUAAUUGUACCUAGAAUCUCUAAACAAACUGCCGGAGGCAGGGCCUUCUCUCAUAGAGCUCCACUACUGUGGAAUGAUCUGCCAAUUAAGGUUAGAAAUGCAAACUCAGUGCAAACUUUCAAGUGUCUACUAAAGACUCAUCUCUACAGCACGGUUUAUAAUUAGGUGUAGCCUGGCCCGGGGGCGUGAAUGUGACCAGAAAGUCUUCAUACUGUCCACCCUUGCUGUCUUGCCAGGUGGGCUCUCAUCACCACAUUUUACCUGUCUCCUGCCGUUUUAAACUUAGGACUGAGGACAUGAGGUCCUGGUCCCUGUCCAGAGUCCUCCUGGUUGUGUUGCAGAAUAAGAAGAUAGCUGAGAUUUCACCUGCCACUCUGCUGCCCCCCCCCUCCCGGGUUGUCCCUGUCCUUGUCCAUCUGGUCAUGCUUCUGACCUGGACUAUGUUUAAAUAGACUCUGGACUCAACCCGCAUGCAUUUAUUAAUUAUUACAAUUUGUACUCUUAAAAUGUUCACCCAGCACAGCCAGAAGACGACUGGUCCCCCCUCUGAGCCUGGGUCCUCUCUAGGUUUCUUCCUAAAUUACUGCUUUUUUUCCCUUUUUUCUAGCAACACUACAACACUUCAGUUGUUUGCUCCUUGUGGUUUAAGGCCGGGUGUUUUGUAAAAGCACUUUGUGACAACUGCUGAUGUAAAAAGGGCUUUAUAAAUACAUUUGAUUGAUUGAUUGACCUCCUCCACCUCCAGACCUCCUCCACACCUCCCACCACCACACCUCCUCCACCUCCAGACCUCCUCCUCACCUCCCACCACCACACCUCCUCCACCUCCAGACCUCCCACCACCACUCCUCCUCCACCUCCAGACCCCCUCCAUACCUCCUCCACCUCCAGACCUCCUCCACACCUCCUACCACCACACCUCCUUCAACUCCAGACCCCCUCCAUACCUCCUCCACCUCCAGACCUCCUCCACACCUCCCACCACCACACCUCCUUCACCUCCAGACCACCUUCACCCCUCCUUCCAGAAAGAUAUGUUGUCUGACUCUCACCUGAAUUCCAACUUUACAUUUUUUUAUUUCUUGUGCUUUAAAAAAAUACAAAAUGUUAACCUAAUAUUUUGCAUUGAAUAUUAAUCAUAUAUCAAACAUGAGGACAUAAGACACUGCGCCUCCUCCAGAUGUAGUUUCUCCAGUGAACACUAGGUGGAGUUACAACCUCUGCUCUUCCCAACAGACUCCUCCAUUACAUCCCACAGUGGCACCGCUGCUAUGGAACACACAGACCUGAUCUCAUCUGUAGAGGGUGUGUCUGGUGUGUCAAGGUGUGUGUAAUGGAUCCUAAUUCUGCUUCUUCUCUGAAGUGACAAGGAAACAAAGAGAGAGAGAGAGAGGGAACAAAACCCAUGCUGACAGAAGGAGAGAGGGAGGAGGGGGAGGCUGAUGGAGAGACUGGGAUGGGAGAGGGAGG
ensembl:lncRNA